rnacentral:lncRNA from 1 species
GUCGUAGUGUUAUUCUGAAUUCCAAACAUGAAAGCCUGCUUGUUGUUCGCGUUCUUUUUACUCCUGACCUUAGCUGGAAGCGAAGAGUUAAACGGUUCCCAUAAAGUAGAAAAGAGACAAAUAGUCAAGCCGCAGACGAUUAUGGUGAAGCCUCCGCCAGGUUGCGUGUUUUACGAGUGCAUUGCGAGUUGCAGGCAGCGGGGUUCUCGGAGAGGUGGAUACUGUACGAUUAAUGGAUGCCAAUGUCUUUGAUAGUGCUGUGAAGAGAAUUAGCGAAAAAUAAAAAAAAAACC